CUGUCCCUGAAAGGCCAGAACAAACUGCCUCCUAGGGUAACACUAAGUGCUACUGCCAUUUGAGACAGACGUGUGCACAGACAGCCCUAGCUCACAGGAUUGUAGGUCCCCAGCGGAUGAAUGAACUGGCUGUUUGCUGGGUGCCGGGAAGAUGCUUUGGAGCCACCCAUAGAUGGACCUGCAUGGGGACUUGCUUUUCCAGGAGAGAUGAUUGAUUCACCAUGCUGACCUGACCACUCUCCCACGUGGUCUUCCUAGUGAUCAGAUGGGGUAUCUGAAGGUUCAGAAACAGAUCAAAGAAAACGCUGUGCACAUGGAGUGAAUGGGAGGAAAAAAGACUCAGAGAGGUUAAGUAUCCGACCCAAGGCACACAGCUGUUUCUCAGGGGAGCCCGGAUUCAAACCCAGGGACUCGGAUCCUAGAGCCUGUGCUUUCACCCGCUGCGCUGCACCAUAUGUGUACCAGGAUGGUAGAAUCAGAGGUCUGGAUUCCAGCAUUUCCCUGCCAGAGGCUAUGGUGGGUGUGCCGAGCACCACCCUGAGGGGGAAGCAGUAUCUCAGCAACUACACCCCCGAGGAAGAGGCAGUCCCCAAUCAGCGGGAGCAAUGGGACCUGCUGAUGACAAAAUAAGCCACAGAAUGAAUGGCUCUGCUCCACUGGCCUUCUCUCCUCCCUGCCCCCUUUUCCCCAGCUGACCAGAUGCAGGGCAGUGGCAGGGAGGGGCUGAUACCAAACCCGGUCUGGGAGACUGCCCGGAGGGAACACAGGUUCCCAAGCUCCUUUUGGAGAGGCUGGAUGUGAGUUCACCUCGAACCUUUCAGCUGGUAAUGGCCACCUCUUGGAGAAUGUAACUGGUUACCAGAAAACCCCAGAGGUUGUCUCCCAGUACCUAGCCUAAAGUGGGUGUGGCCACAGAACCUACCAAAAUUUAAAUAAAAGCAAGAACUAGGCGUGUCCAGGGAUGGCGUUGUGCUGUUUAUCCGCUCUCUGCUCUUCCCACUCCUCCUUCCUUUGGGAUUUUGUCCAAGACUCUGUAAAUUAAUUUUUCUGUGCCUGUUUCCUCAUAAAAUAAACAAGCUAACCUC
rnacentral:lncRNA from 1 species